GAUGAAGAACGCAGCGAAAUGCGAUAAGUAAUGUGAAUUGCAGAAUUCAGUGAAUCAUCGAAUCUUUGAACGCACAUUGCGCCCGCCAGUAUUCUGGCGGGCAUCCCUGUUCGAGCGUCAUUUCCACCAUCAGGCCCCCGGGCCUGUGUUGGGGACCUGCGGCUGCCCGCAGGCCCCGAAAUUCAGUGGCGGUCGCGCCGUAGCAACCGAGCGUAGUAACUAAAACGUCUCGCUCUGGCUCGCUGGGCGCGCUCCGGCCGUAAAACACCCCCCCUUUUCGCAAAGGUUGACCUCGGAUCAGGUAGGAAUACCCGCUGAACUUAAGCAUAUCAAUAAGCGGAGGA
rnacentral:misc_RNA from 1 species